ACAACAUGGCUGCCCUGUUACAUGUGGUCAUCAGUGGAGCAGAAGUGCUUUGAUUCGCAUUCUGCUUAGGAAAUGUAGACCUAUAGGCCAAAUGCAAAGAAAUGAUUUAUAGAUGUUUUUUAAAUGAGUGAAUUCCUUGUUGUUUACACAAUUCAUCUUGAAGCUGCCAUGUUUACUGGAAUAAAACUCAACUCUAAAUGAGUUGACAUCAGUGGAUGUUUCUGAGGGAGGACGGCUCAUAAUAAUGGCUGGAACGGAGCGAAUGGAAUGGCAUUAAAUGCAAGGAAACCAUGGAAACCACAUGUUUGAUGUAUUUGACACCAUUCCAUCCUAUUCCUCUCCAGACAUUAUCAAUUACUUGUCCUCCCCAAUUAAAGUGGCACCAACCUUCUGUGGUUGACACAGUUCAGUGUUGAAUACAAGUGGGUCAUUCUUGGGCUGGGGUAAUAUUUCAGUCCCUUUGACUUUUUAUAUUAUAUUUCAAGUAUUGGGUCACCGAAAUGAAACGUUAACAGAUUUUGUAUAAACAUUGAAAUGUCCAGUAUAAUGAAUUGAAAUAAAUAUAGUAUUCAUUUAAACCUUAUUAUAAAAAACAUCUUAUUUUUUAAGCUGACACUAAGAAUUGUGUCAUGUCCCCCAGGCAUUUGACAUAAUUUUUACUUGGGAAAUUAAUAUGAAAAUGUGCACAUAAUUAAUAACUUCUUCCAUUAAUGUAAACAGAUGUGUGUUAUUUUGUUGAGAAUGUAUUUUUAUCAAAUAAAUACAUGAUUAUUGAUUAAAAUGACACAAUUUGACCUCUUUCCCUCAGUCUAUACUCAACCCCGUCACACCAACGAAACUCUGCUAAUAAAAAAUGCUCAGUCCACCCUUUAUGUGCCAUCAUUAACAGGAAGUGACAUCAUUUCACAAUUUCCAUCUUCAUGGUACAGAAACAGGCAAGUAAUCAUGUUAUUUUAUAUCUGUAUUUUGUUGUUUUUUAAAGUCAGGUGGGGAUGGUCGAGCUGACCAACUCAACCCCGUUACAUGAAAUAAAG
ensembl:lncRNA